rnacentral:sRNA from 1 species
AUCCGGUCAUUUAGAGGAAGUAAAAGUCGUAACAAGGUCUCCGUUGGUGAACCAGCGGAGGGAUCAUUACCGAGUUUACAACUCCCAAACCCCUGUGAACAUACCUUAAUGUUGCCUCGGCGGAUCAGCCCGCGCCCCGUAAAACGGGACGGCCCGCCAGAGGACCCAAACUCUAAUGUUUCUUAUUGUAACUUCUGAGUAAAACAAACAAAUAAAUCAAAACUUUCAACAACGGAUCUCUUGGUUCUGGCAUCGAUGAAGAACGCAGCAAAAUGCGAUAAGUAAUGUGAAUUGCAGAAUUCAGUGAAUCAUCGAAUCUUUGAACGCACAUUGCGCCCGCUGGUAUUCCGGCGGGCAUGCCUGUUCGAGCGUCAUUUCAACCCUCAAGCCCUCGGGUUUGGUGUUGGGGAUCGGCUCUGCCUUCUGGCGGUGCCGCCCCCGAAAUACAUUGGCGGUCUCGCUGCAGCCUCCAUUGCGUAGUAGCUAACACCUCGCAACUGGAACGCGGCGCGGCCAUGCCGUAAAACCCCAACUUCUGAAUGUUGACCUCGGAUCAGGUAGGAAUACCCGCUGAACUUAAGCAUAUCAAUAAGCGGAGGAA